AAUAUUAAUUUUAUUGUGAUCUGUCGGCUGGGUUUGCACAACUCGACCAAACUACGUGGGUCCGCCAUCUGCCUCUGAAUUAACUACUCUGAUAGUA